GCAAGUCGAGGGGUAAGGCUCUUUCGGGAGUACACGACCGGCGCACGGGUGAGUAACGCGUAUGCAACCUACCUUUAACUGGGGGAUAGCCCGAAGAAAUUCGGAUUAAUACCGCAUAACAUUAUGGAAUCACCUGGUUCUAUAAUUAAAACUCCGGUGGUUAAAGAUGGGCAUGCGUGACAUUAGCUAGAUGGUAAGGUAACGGCUUACCAUGGCUACGAUGUCUAGGGGGUCUGAGAGGAUGGUC
rnacentral:rRNA from 1 species